UGGGGAAUUUUGGACAAUGGGCGAAAGCCUGAUCCAGCAAUGCCGCGUGUGUGAAGAAGGCCUUCGGGUUGUAAAGCACUUUUGUCCGGAAAGAAAUCCUUGGCUCUAAUACAGUCGGGGGAUGACGGUACCGGAAGAAUAAGCACCGGCUAACUACGUGCCAGCAGCCGCGGUAAUACGUAGGGUGCAAGCGUUAAUCGGAAUUACUGGGCGUAAAGCGUGCGCGGGCGGUUUGCUAAGACCGAUGUGAAAUCCCCGGGCUCAACCUGGGAACUGCAUUGGUGACUGGCAGGCUAGAGUAUGGCAGAGGGGGGUAGAAUUCCACGUGUAGCAGUGAAAUGCGUAGAGAUGUGGAGGAAUACCGAUGGCGAAGGCAGCCCCCUGGGCCAAAUACUGACGCUCAUGCACGAAAAGCGUGGGGAGCAAAACAGGAUUAGAUACCCUGGUAGUCCACGCCCUAAAACGAUGUCAACUAGUUGUUGGGGAUUCAUUUCCUUAGUAACGUAGCUAACGCGUGAAGUUGACCGCCUGGGGAGUACGGUCGCAAGAUUAAAACUCAAAUGAAUUGACGGGGUCAUAGCUGUUUCCU
rnacentral:rRNA from 1 species